rnacentral:rRNA from 1 species
UGGGGAAUAUUGGACAAUGGGCGAAAGCCUGAUCCAGCCACGCCGCGUGAGUGAUGAAGGCCUUCGGGUCGUAAAGCUCUGCGGGGAGGGACGAACAACUCAGGGUUUAAUACCCCUGAAUCUGACGGUACCUCCUUAGCAAGCACCGGCUAACCCUGUGCCCGCAGCCGCGGUAAUACAGGGGGUGCAAACGUUGCUCGGAAUUAUUGGGCUUAAAGCGCGCGUAGGCGGCCGCUUAAGUCGGAUGUGAAAGCCCCUGGCUCAACUGGGGAAGUGCACCCGAAACUGAGUGGCUUGAGUACUAAAGAGGGUCGCGGAAUUCCCGGUGUAGAGGUGAAAUUCGUAGAUAUCGGGAGGAACACCGGUGGCGAAGGCGGCGACCUGGGUAGAUACUGACGCUGAGGCGCGAACGCGUGGGGAGCAAA